rnacentral:rRNA from 1 species
AUACGGAGGGUGCAAGCGUUAAUCGGAAUUACUGGGCGUAAAGCGUACGUAGGCGGUUAUUUAAGUCAGAUGUGAAAGCCCCGGGCUUAACUUGGGAACUGCAUUUGAAACUGGGUAACUAGAGUUUAGUAGAGGGGAGUGGAAUUUCAGGUAUAGCGGUGAAAUGCGUAGAGAUCUGAAGGAACACCAGUGGCGAAGGCGACUCCCUGGACUAAAACUGACGCUGAGGUACGAAAGCGUGGGUAGCAAACAGGAUUAGAAACCCUUGUAGUCC